rnacentral:misc_RNA from 1 species
UUUCCGUAGGUGAACCUGCGGGAGGAUCAUUAUUGUAUAACCGAGGUGCGAGGGCUGUCGCUGACCCGAAAGGUCGUGCACGCCCGAGUGCCCUCACACACAUCCCUCUCACCCCUAUGUGCACCACCGCGUGGGUCCCCCUUUGGCUUGUUCGGAGGGGGGCUUACGUUUUCACACAAUCUUUGUAUGCAGUGUAGAAUGUAUUUUUUGUUUUUGCGAUCACGCAAUCAAUACAACUUUCAACAACGGAUCUCUUGGCUCUC